rnacentral:tRNA from 1 species
GGUGAGGUGGCCGAGCGGUCUAAGGCGCCAGACUAAGGUCGUGCGUACUAUUGGACCAACUUAGUUUCUGAUUUUGUAAAUCUGGUCCGAAAGGGCGUGGGUUCGAAUCCCAUCCUCAUCA